rnacentral:misc_RNA from 1 species
CCCAACUAUCCCUAUUAAUCAUUACAUCGAUCCUAGAAACCAACAAAAUAGAAUCGGAUGUCCUAUUUCAUUAUUCCAUGCUAAUGUAUUCAAGCGUGAGCCUGCUUUAAACACUCUAAUUUUUUCAAGGUAACAGUCCUAAUUCCCCGUGACACCAAAUUAAUGGCAUUACGGUUCUUUAGAAGGUGAGAAAUCAAUAAUAUCAGUACAUACCAACGGUAGAAUCCCGAAAUUCAACUACGAGCUUUUUAACUGCAACAACUUUAAUAUACGCUAUUGGAGCUGGAAUUACCGCGGCUGCUGGCACCAGACUUGCCCUCCAA